ACUCCUACGGGAGGCAGCAGUGGGGAAUAUUGCACAAUGGGCGCAAGCCUGAUGCAGCGACGCCGCGUGAGGGAUGACGGCCUUCGGGUUGUAAACCUCUUUCAGCAGGGAAGAAGCGAAAGUGACGGUACCUGCAGAAGAAGCGCCGGCUAACUACGUGCCAGCAGCCGCGGUAAUACGUAGGGCGCAAGCGUUGUCCGGAAUUAUUGGGCGUAAAGAGCUCGUAGGCGGUUUGUCGCGUCUGCUGUGAAAACCUAAGGCUCAACCUUGGGCUUGCAGUGGGUACGGGCAGACUAGAGUGCGGUAGGGGUGACUGGAAUUCCUGGUGUAGCGGUGGAAUGCGCAGAUAUCAGGAGGAACACCGAUGGCGAAGGCAGGUCACUGGGCCGCAACUGACGCUGAGGAGCGAAAGCAUGGGGAGCGAACAGGAUUAGAUACCCUGGUAGUCCAUGCCGUAAACGUUGGGCACUAGGUGUGGGGCUCAUUCCACGAGUUCCGUGCCGCAGCAAACGCAUUAAGUGCCCCGCCUGGGGAGUACGGCCGCAAGGCUAAAACUCAAAGAAAUUGACGGGGGCCCGCACAAGCGGCGGAGCAUGCGGAUUAAUUCGAUGCAACGCGAAGAACCUUACCAAGGCUUGACAUACACCGGAAAAGUGCAGAGAUGUGCUCCCCGCAAGGUCGGUGUACAGGUGGUGCAUGGUUGUCGUCAGCUCGUGUCGUGAGAUGUUGGGUUAAGUCCCGCAACGAGCGCAACCCUCGUCCCAUGUUGCCAGCGGGUUAUGCCGGGGACUCAUGGGAGACUGCCGGGGUCAACUCGGA
rnacentral:rRNA from 1 species